rnacentral:rRNA from 1 species
CCAAUAGCGUAUAUUAAAGUUGUUGCAGUUAAAAAGCUCGUAGUUGAAUUUCGAGACCGGUCUACUGGUCGUGCUUUUGUACGUACUGGUUUUAUUGGUUUCUCCUUUCUGACGAACCAUAAUGCCAUUAAUUUGGUGUUAUGGGGAAUCAGGACUGUUACUUUGAAAAAAUUAGAGUGUUUAAAGCAGGCUCACGCUUGAAUACAUUAGCAUGGAAUAACGGAAUAGGACGUUUGAUUCUAUUUUGUUGGUUUCUAGGAUCGACGUAAUGAUUAAUAGGGAUAGUUGGGGGCAUUAGUAUUCAAUUGUCAGAGGUGAAAUUCUUGGAUUUAUUGAAGACUAACUACUGCGAAAGCAUUUGCCAAGGAUGUUUUCAUUAAUCAAGAACGAAAGUUAGGGGAUCGAAGACGAUCAGAUACCGUCGUAGUCUUAACCAUAAACUAUGCCGACUAGGGAUCGGAUGAUGUUAAUUUUUUAAUGACUCAUUCGGCGCCUUACG